rnacentral:misc_RNA from 1 species
UCCCGCUUACGCGGGCAGUCUCUUUAGACACUUGUAACUAAAGACAAGGGUUACGCUCGUUCGAGGACUUAACCUAACACCUCACGGCACGAGCUGACGAGGGCCAUGCAGCACCUGUUCUAAUGUCCCGAAGGAAGAUCUUGUUUCCAAGACUGUCAUUAGAAUGUCAAACCCUGGUAAGGUUUUUCGCUUGCCUACGAAUUAAACCAGACGCUCCACCGCUUGUGCGGGUCCCCGCCAAUUCCUUUGAGUUUUAGUCUUGCGACCGUAGUCCCCAGGCGGGAUGUUUAACGGGUUACCUACGCCACCGAAAGGGCCGACUCUCCCGAUAGCUAACAUCCAUAGUUUACAGCGUGGACUAC